rnacentral:tRNA from 1 species
CCGUCGAUAGCUCAGUUGGUAGAGUGGUGGACUGUAGAUCCAUAGGUCGCUGGUUCAAAUCCGGCUCGACGGA